rnacentral:lncRNA from 1 species
ACCAACUCUCUCUCUCUCUCUGUAUGGAUACAUAUAGAGAGAUAGAGUGAAAAUGACGUGAAAAUAAGAUUUUGAAGGUUUGGGAAUAGAAUGAGCCUAGUGAAUAUCUCUCUCAUGCUAUUUUUAACAGGAAGUGUUAAAACACCAUCCGAAAAAUCUCUCAAGUUUUGCUUUCGAUGGGGUUUUUAGGUGUUAUUUACGGCGGAGCUCCACUUGAUGGGUGUACCGGUGGACGACGGCGAUGACGAUGGGACGACGACGAUAAAGUUGUUGGGUCCGGAUCUGAUUUGGAAGACGAAGAGGGAGACCCGUAGCCGUUGAAGACUCGGAUUCGAAGAAGACCCGGGCUAGACGAGGACCCGGAUAUGAUGAAGACCCAUUUGUAGGUUAACCUCUUUCCUUUUUUUGAAGAACAAUCAAAGAAAAACCCCUUAAAAAUUUGAACUUUUUAUUUGCUCUUUUUCAGUUUUUUUUGACCAAAACCCAAUGAAAAAAUGGGCAGAAAAAAGCAAAACGGAAGUUUACUCCUUGUAAAAUAACCCAAACCACAUAGACUAAAAUGACAUUUAACUCUUAUAAAUAUUAAUGAAACAUUAUUAUGUAACGUUGUGGAUUAUAAAUGCAUUUUUGUGGGCAUUGGUUGUGAUUGGUUUUGGUAAUUUUUAAAACCCCAUUCAGUGAGUUUCUUAAUAUUUAACUCUUAGGCCAUCCGUAGUCAUAAGACCCUUUUAGGGGCGUUAUACGACAUGUGGCAUGUCACGUCAAUAAGGGGCUUUAUGGGGCGUUAUGCAACUUGAGGCCGUAGUCAUAAAGCCCCUUUGUCAUCAUUACUCAAUUAAUUUAAUUUUCAUUUUUUUAAUUAAUUUCUAAGUUUUAUAAAAUUAAAAAUCAUUCCAUUAAAUAAAAAACAAUACAUUAAAAUAAAAAAAAAAACGUUAAAGAAAAAAACAUUACACCUAAAAAAUAUAUUUAUUCUUCGGCUUCAUUUUCGUUCUCUCCUUCUUCCUCUUCGUUUUCUCCAGCAUCCAAACUUACGUCUUCAAAGUUCCCGUCUUCGAAUUUCUCAACCUCGGAAUCUUCUUCGUAGUCACGAUCUCGCAAGAUAUAGGUGCGCCGCAAGAUGGGUCGUGGAGGGGGAGUAGGCCGAACGUGCUCAAAUGCUUGUAUCACAAAAGUACAUGCACUCGUAACCGCUUCUUCCUCAGCCGCGUCUUCUUCGGGCGAAAAAAAUUUUCGGUAAAUAUCGGUGAAAGAGUCUUCCGACGGGGAACCCAUUUUUUUUUAAUAGGGUGGGAGUAGCUUCAACACUUUUUAAAAAAUAUAUAGAGAAUGAGAGAAUAUUUGAGUAUGAUUUGUAAAAAAUAGAAGAGUUGGAAGUUAUUUAUAGUGUGAAAAUAAAAAAAAUUGAUUUUUUUUCAAAUAUGACCGUUUUACAACGAUCGAAUAUUAAAU